rnacentral:rRNA from 1 species
GACAGAGGGUGCAAGCGUUGUUCGGGAUCAUUGGGCGUAAAGCGCGCGUAGGUGGCUUAUUAAGUUGAAUGUGAAAUCCCCGGGCUCAACCCUGGAAGUGCAUUCAAAACUGGUAAGCUUGAGUCCUGGAGGGGGUGGUGGAAUUCCCAGUGUAGAAGUGAAAUUCGUAGAUAUUGGGAGGAACACCAGUGGCGAAGGCGACCACCUGGACAGAGACUGACACUGAGGCGCGAAAGCGUGGGGAGCAAACAGG